CAUCACUUUUUAACUUACAAACAGAACAAAAAUUUAAAUCAUCGUAUGUCAGUGAAACUUAGAGCAACCAUUAAUAAAGUCAGAAUAACCUAAACCAUGCUUAGCUAGUAGAACUCAUCCUUAGGAAUAAUGACAAGAAAUAUUUGAUAAUCAACCACAGCCCAAAAAGAUAGAGUUACUAUUGUCUUUGCCAAGCUCACUUGGACAGUUCAAAAAUUGAUUUAAGAACAAUAAGAAAUUGUCUGGAAGAGAGAGAGAGAGAGAGAG
rnacentral:misc_RNA from 1 species